CCGUGCAACCGGGGAGAUAGCGGUGCCCUGUACCUGCAAUCCGCUACAGCAGGGGUGAUGAUGUGCCGAGGGGCGUCCGAUUUGGAGCUGCCCGUAGUAAGUAACGUUGAAGCUUGGGCCUCGCGCGAUGGGAAUUUGUGAACCGUGUCAGGGUAGGAAUACAGCAGCACUAAGCGAACCCUCUCAUGCGCCGCGAGUACACCUGGGCCGAGUCAACUGCUAUGGUAACGUCCGGAAAGGCGUUUCGACGCACUUCGCACGG
rnacentral:SRP_RNA from 1 species